ACGGAAGGCAGCAGUGGGGAAUAUUGGACAAUGGGGGAAACCCUGAUCCAGCGACGCCGCGUGAGUGAAGAAGUAUUUCGGUAUGUAAAGCUCUAUCAGCAGGGAAGAUAAUGACGGUACCUGACUAAGAAGCCCCGGCUAACUACGUGCCAGCAGCCGUGGUAAUACGUAGGGGGCAAGCGUUAUCCGGAUUUACUGGGUGUAAAGGGUGUGUAGGCGGCAAGGCAAGUCAGAAGUGAAAUACCGGGGCUCAACUCCGGAGCUGCUUUUGAAACUGCCAUGCUGGAGUCCAGGAGAGGCAGGCGGAAUUCCUAGUGUAGCGGUGAAAUGCGUAGAUAUUAGGAAGAACACCAGUGGCGAAGGCGGCCUGCUGGACUGGAACUGACGCUGAGGCACGAAAGCGUGGGGAGCAAACAGGAUUAGAUACCCUGGUA
rnacentral:rRNA from 1 species